AUUGAACGCUGGCGGCAGGCCUAACACAUGCAAGUCGAACGAGUGGCGGACGGGUGAGUAAUGUCUGGGAAACUGCCUGAGGGAGGGGGAUAACUACUGGAAACGGUAGCUAAUACCGCAUAACCUCGGAUAUGCCUAGAUGGGAUUAGCUAGUAUGUGGGGUAAAGGCUCACCGAGGCGACGAUCCCUAGCUGGUCUGAGAUGAUGACCAUCCACACUGGAACUGAGACACGGCCCAGACUCCUACGGGAGGCAGCAGUGGGGAAUAUUGCACAAUGGGCGCAAGCCUGAUGAAGCCAUGCCGCGUGUAUGAAGAAGGCCUUCGGGUUGUAAAGUACUUUCAGCGGGGAGGCGUUACCCGCAGAAGAAGCACCGGCUAACUCCGUGCCAGCAGCCGCGGUAAUAC
rnacentral:rRNA from 1 species